UACGUAGGGCGCAAGCGUUGUCCGGAAUUAUUGGGCGUAAAGAGCUCGUAGGCGGCUUGUUACGUCGGGUGUGAAAGCCCGGGGCUUAACCCCGGGUCUGCAUUCGAUACGGGCUGGCUAGAGUGUGGUAGGGGAGAUCGGAAUUCCUGGUGUAGCGGUGAAAUGCGCAGAUAUCAGGAGGAACACCGGUGGCGAAGGCGGAUCUCUGGGCCAUUACUGACGCUGAGGAGCGAAAGCGUGGGGAGCGAACAGG
rnacentral:rRNA from 1 species